rnacentral:rRNA from 1 species
GUACACUCCUACGGGAGGCAGCAGUGGGGAAUAUUGGACAAUGGGUGCAAGCCUGAUCCAGCCAUGCCGCGUGAGUGAUGAAGGCCCUAGGGUUGUAAAGCUCUUUCACCGGUGAAGAUAAUGACGGUAACCGGAGAAGAAGCCCCGGCUAACUUCGUGCCAGCAGCCGCGGUAAAACGAAGGGGGCUAGCGUUGUUCGGAUUUACUGGGCGUAAAGCGCACGUAGGCGGACUAUUAAGUCAGGGGUGAAAUCCCGGGGCUCAACCCCGGAACUGCCUUUGAUACUGGUAGUCUUGAGUUCGAGAGAGGUGAGUGGAAUUCCGAGUGUAGAGGUGAAAUUCGUAGAUAUUCGGAGGAACACCAGUGGCGAAGGCGGCUCACUGGCUCGAUACUGACGCUGAGGUGCGAAAGCGUGGGGAGCAAACAGGAUUAGAUACCCCGGUAGUCCC